rnacentral:rRNA from 1 species
UACAGAGGGGGCAAGCGUUAUUCGGAAUUAUUGGGCGUAAAGGGCGCGUAGGCGGCUUGGCAAGUGGAAGGUGAAAUCCCUCGGCUUAACCGAGGAACUGCCCUCCAAACUGCUUCGCUUGAGACCGGGAGAGGUGAGUGGAAUUCCCAGUGUAGCGGUGAAAUGCGUAGAGAUCGGAAAGAACACCAACGGCGAAAGCACUCUGCUGGGCCGACACUGACACUGAGAGACGAAAGCUAGGGGAGCGAAUGGG